rnacentral:rRNA from 1 species
GAUGAACGCUGGCGGCGUGCCUAAUACAUGCAAGUCGAACGGAAAGGCGAGGAUCUUGCUGCUCUCGAGUGGCGGACGGGCGGGUGAGUCACAGGUGGAUAACCCACCUAUAAGGCUGAGGCAACGGCGGGAGAGCGGAGCUAAUACCGGAUAAUAUAUUGAACGGGGUGGUUCGAAAGUUAUAGAGGGGUUGGCUGUGACUGCGGGGUAUCUGGUCGUUGGUGUGGUUAAGGGUUACCAAGGCGGCGAGCCCUAGCAGGGCUGAGAGGGCGACCGGCCAUACGAGGACGGAGACACGGUCCAGACCCCUACGGGAGGCAGCAGUCGGGAAUGUUGCAGAAUGGGCGAAAGUCUGACGGAGCGAGGCCGCGUGAUGGAUGAAGGCCGCCGGAUCGUAAAAGGCUUUUGGUAGGUAAGAACCUAUCUGUAAGUACGAAGCUUUGUUGUGACGGUACCUAAAUAAAAAGCCCCGGCUAACUACGUG